rnacentral:lncRNA from 1 species
GAAAAUUCCACAGACUUUUAGAGGAAUAAAAACCAGUAAUUUUCCAAGGAAAUGUUCCAUGAUUCUAUAACAACUGAAGAUUUCAUAUUUAGUGCCUUCUUUGUGAAGAAAAACUUACUCAACACCUUUCUGGAAGCACAGUCAACUCUUUAUGCUGCUUUGGGCAAACAUCAACAGGUGCAUGUUACAGCUUUCAAAUUUGCUGCACAUGGAUUCUAUUAGCUUCAGGAAACUUCAGAGACAAUAUAACAAUAUCAGUUAUACUACGGAAGGAGCAAGCCUCAGCAGAGGAUUUAAGAAGCCCCAUUCUUAUUUUACUAGAGAAAUAAUCUUCAUAUGGAGGAACAAAGCACGACUGACAGAAAACACCAUUUGUUUCUUCUGGAUUCCUUCUUCAGAGGUCAAAAUCUUCAUGAUAACAAAGAAAAUGUCAAAGGGUUAA